rnacentral:rRNA from 1 species
UACGGAGGGUGCAAGCGUUAUCCGGAUUUACUGGGUUUAAAGGGUGCGUAGGUGGGUAGGUAAGUCAGUGGUGAAAUCUUCGAGCUUAACUCGGAAACUGCCAUUGAUACUAUUUAUCUUGAAUACUCUGGAGGUAAGCGGAAUAUGUCAUGUAGCGGUGAAAUGCUUAGAUAUGACAUAGAACACCAAUUGCGAAGGCAGCUUACUACGGAUUGAUUGACACUGAGGCACGAAAGCGUGGGGAUCAAACAGG